rnacentral:rRNA from 1 species
AGAGUUUGAUCCUGGCUCAGGACGAACGCUGGCGGCGUGCUUAACACAUGCAAGUCGAGCGAGAACCUCCUCUGGGGUAACCCGGGGGAGGGGAGAGCGGCGAACGGGUGAGUAACACGUGGGCAACCUGCCCCAGACUCUGGGAUAACAACGGGAAACCGUUGCUAAUACCGGAUAACCCUGCAGCACCGCAUGGUGCAGCAGGCAAAGUUUUUUCGGUCUGGGAUCGGCCCGCGGUGUAUCAGCUUGUUGGUGGGGUAACGGCCUACCAAGGCUUUGACGCAUAGCUGGCGUGAGAGCGCGACCAGCCACACUGGAACUGAGACACGGUCCAGACUCCUACGGGAGGCAGCAGUAGGGAAUCUUGCGCAAUGGGCGAAAGCCUGACGCAGCGACGCCGCGUGAGGGAUGAAUGCCUUCGGGUUGUAAACCUCUUUCAGCAGGGACGAAGCCUUCGGGUGACGGUACCUGCAGAAGAAGGUCCGGCCAACUACGUGCCAGCAGCCGCGGUAAUACGUAGGGACCAAGCGUUGUCCGGAUUUAUUGGGCGUAAAGAGCUCGUAGGCGGCUGUUCGCGUCGGAUGUGAAAGCUCAGGGCUCAACCCUGAGAGGCCAUUCGAUACGGGAUAGCUAGAGGUAGGUAGGGGAGAUCGGAAUUCCUGGUGUAGCGGUGAAAUGCGCAGAUAUCAGGAGGAACACCGGUGGCGAAGGCGGAUCUCUGGGCCUUACCUGACGCUGAGGAGCGAAAGCUGGGGGAGCAAACAGGAUUAGAUACCCCAGUAGUCC